rnacentral:rRNA from 1 species
UACGGAGGGUGCAAGCGUUGAUCGGAAUUACUGGGCGUAAAGGGUGCGUAGGUGGUUUAAUAAGUUAUCUGUGAAAUACCUGGGCUUAACCUGGGCAGGUCAUAUAAGACUGUUAGACUAGAGUAUGGGAGAGGGUAGAGGAAUUUCCGGUGUAGCGGUGAAAUGCGUAGAGAUCGGAAGGAACACCAGUGGCGAAGGCGUCUACCUGGCCUAAUACUGACACUGAGGCACGAAAGCGUGGGGAGCAAACAGG